rnacentral:rRNA from 1 species
UACGUAGGGGGCAAGCGUUGUCCGGAUUUAUUGGGCGUAAAGAGCGUGUAGGCGGCCAGGCAGGUCCGGUGUGAAAACUCGAGGCUUAACCUCGAGAUGUCAUCGGAAACCAUCUGGCUAGAGUCCGGAAGAGGAAAGUGGAAUUCCUGGUGUAGCGGUGAAAUGCGCAGAUAUCAGGAAGAACACCAAUGGCGAAAGCAGCUUUCUGGGACGGUACUGACGCUGAGACGCGAAAGCGUGGGGAGCGAACAGG